AGAGUUUGAUCCUGGCUCAGGAUGAACGCUGGCGGCGUGCCUAAUACAUGCAAGUCGAGCGAACGGACGAGAAGCUUGCUUCUCUGAUGUUAGCGGCGGACGGGUGAGUAACACGUGGAUAACCUACCUAUAAGACUGGGAUAACUUCGGGAAACCGGAGCUAAUACCGGAUAAUAUUUUGAACCGCAUGGUUCAAAAGUGAAAGACGGUCUUGCUGUCACUUAUAGAUGGAUCCGCGCUGCAUUAGCUAGUUGGUAAGGUAACGGCUUACCAAGGCAACGAUGCAUAGCCGACCUGAGAGGGUGAUCGGCCACACUGGAACUGAGACACGGUCCAGACUCCUACGGGAGGCAGCAGUAGGGAAUCUUCCGCAAUGGGCGAAAGCCUGACGGAGCAACGCCGCGUGAGUGAUGAAGGUCUUCGGAUCGUAAAACUCUGUUAUUAGGGAAGAACAUAUGUGUAAGUAACUGUGCACAUCUUGACGGUACCUAAUCAGAAAGCCACGGCUAACUACGUGCCAGCAGCCGCGGUAAUACGUAGGUGGCAAGCGUUAUCCGGAAUUAUUGGGCGUAAAGCGCGCGUAGGCGGUUUUUUAAGUCUGAUGUGAAAGCCCACGGCUCAACCGUGGAGGGUCAUUGGAAACUGGAAAACUUGAGUGCAGAAGAGGAAAGUGGAAUUCCAUGUGUAGCGGUGAAAUGCGCAGAGAUAUGGAGGAACACCAGUGGCGAAGGCGACUUUCUGGUCUGUAACUGACGCUGAUGUGCGAAAGCGUGGGGAUCAAACAGGAUUAGAUACCCUGGUAGUCCACGCCGUAAACGAUGAGUGCUAAGUGUUAGGGGGUUUCCGCCCCUUAGUGCUGCAGCUAACGCAUUAAGCACUCCGCCUGGGGAGUACGACCGCAAGGUUGAAACUCAAAGGAAUUGACGGGGACCCGCACAAGCGGUGGAGCAUGUGGUUUAAUUCGAAGCAACGCGAAGAACCUUACCAAAUCUUGACAUCCUUUGACAACUCUAGAGAUAGAGCCUUCCCCUUCGGGGGACAAAGUGACAGGUGGUGCAUGGUUGUCGUCAGCUCGUGUCGUGAGAUGUUGGGUUAAGUCCCGCAACGAGCGCAACCCUUAAGCUUAGUUGCCAUCAUUAAGUUGGGCACUCUAAGUUGACUGCCGGUGACAAACCGGAGGAAGGUGGGGAUGACGUCAAAUCAUCAUGCCCCUUAUGAUUUGGGCUACACACGUGCUACAAUGGACAAUACAAAGGGUAGCGAAACCGCGAGGUCAAGCAAAUCCCAUAAAGUUGUUCUCAGUUCGGAUUGUAGUCUGCAACUCGACUACAUGAAGCUGGAAUCGCUAGUAAUCGUAGAUCAGCAUGCUACGGUGAAUACGUUCCCGGGUCUUGUACACACCGCCCGUCACACCACGAGAGUUUGUAACACCCGAAGCCGGUGGAGUAACCUUUUAGGAGCUAGCCGUCGAAGGUGGGACAAAUGAUUGGGGUGAAGUCGUAACAAGGUAGCCGUAUCGGAAGGUGCGGCUGGAUCACCU
rnacentral:rRNA from 3 species